UUUCUUUCAACCAAAUUGUAAAAAAAAAAUAUCCAUGGAUGGUUCCUUACAACGCUCUUCACAAGUUAAAUACAUGAUCAGGUCACUACUUUAAAUGAAUUUGGGUGUUUUAGUCAAUAGCAUU